ACGAAGGGGGCUAGCGUUGUUCGGAUUUACUGGGCGCAAAGCGCGUGUAGGCGGACUUGUAAGUUGGGGGUGAAAUCCCGAGGCUCAACCUCGGAACUGCCUCCAAAACUACAAGUCUGGAGCAAGAUAGAGGCAAGUGGAAUUGCGAGUGUAGAGGUGAAAUUCGUAGAUAUUGGGAAGAACACCAGUGGCGAAGGCGGCUAACUGGUCCAGAUCUGACGCUGAGGUGCGAAAGCGUGGGGAGCAAACAGGA
rnacentral:rRNA from 1 species